rnacentral:rRNA from 1 species
CCCUUAGACACUCUAGGCGGCACGCGCGCUACAAUGGGUGGAAGAACGUGUUACUGCCUCCGAAAGGAGGGGUGAAUCACGAAUUCUUGCCCGUGAAUGGGAUAGUUUGUUGCAAUUUUCGGACUUGAACUAGGAAUCCCUUGUAAACAGGCUCAAGAAUAGCGUGUUGAAUACGUCCCUGCCGUUUGUACACACCGCCCGUCGUUUCUUCCGACUGAUACUCAUUGUGAGUUGCAAGGACCCUUUAUUGGGAAAUUGCUGCAAAUGCUUUGUAUUGGAGGAAGAAAAAGUCGUAACA